rnacentral:rRNA from 1 species
AACGCGAAGAACCUUACCUACCCUUGACAUGCUCGGAAUCUGGCAGAGAUGUUGGAGUGCCUUCGGGAGCCGAGACACAGGUGCUGCAUGGCUGUCGUCAGCUCGUGUCGUGAGAUGUUGGGUUAAGUCCCGUAACGAGCGCAACCCCUAUACUUAGUUGCCAACGGGUAAAGCUGGGAACUCUAAGUAGACUGCCGGUGACAAGCCGGAGGAAGGUGGGGAUGACGUCAAGUCCUCAUGGCCCUUACGGGUAGGGCAACACACGUGUUACAAUGGCCAGUACAGAGGGAAGCGAAGUCGCGAGAUGGAGCGAAUCCUGAUAAAGCUGGUCGUAGUCCGGAUUGGAGUCUGCAACUCGACUCCAUGAAGUUGGAAUCGCUAGUAAUCGCAGAUCAGAACGCUGCGGUGAAUACGUUCCCGGGCCUUGUACACACCGCUGUA